UACGGAGGGUGCGAGCGUUGUCCGGAAUCACUGGGCGUAAAGGGCGCGUAGGUGGUCUGAUAAGGGUGUGGUGAAAGCCCGGGGCUCAACCCCGGGUCGGCCGUGCCGACUGUUGGACUAGAGUGCUGUAGGAGCAGGCGGAAUUCCGGGUGUAGCGGUGGAAUGCGUAGAGAUCCGGAGGAAGACCGGUGGCGAAGGCGGCCUGCUGGGCAGUUACUGACACUGAGGCGCGACAGCGUGGGGAGCAAACAGG
rnacentral:rRNA from 1 species